rnacentral:rRNA from 1 species
AAAAGACUCUCGGCAACGGAUAUCUCGGCUCUUGCAUCGAUGAAGAACGUAGCGAAAUGCGAUACUUGGUGUGAAUUGCAGAAUCCCGUGAACCAUCGAGUCUUUGAACGCAAGUUGCGCCCGAAGCCAUUAGGCCGAGGGCACGCCUGCCUGGGUGUCGCG